GACUGGUGAGGCGACACACGCCGUGCGCUGCGCUGCGCUGCGUGCACACCGUUAUCAAGAGGUGCUUCAGACAAUGGACACGUGGCAACACUGACAAAAGAAGCACUGUUCUUGGCCAAAGUUAAAAUACAAGUUACGUUUCUGUGUAAAAUAAAUAAAUAAAUAAAUAAUAAUAAUAAUAAAUAGAUAAAUAAAUAAAUAAAUAAAUAAAUAAAAUGAUUUUCACGAGACAAAGCAAGGUUGCUUGUUCGCAGUGACAAGAAGUACACGCCCUCACAUCAUCCUUAGAAAGGCCCCGCCUGGCCCGUGUGGCGGAGACACCCGCUUCCUGCGUCACUGUCUCGCUGCACGUCAGACCAUCAGUACCACACACACACACACACACACACACACACUGACAACUGCCUGCCUGCGUGACGCGUGUGGCCAUGUCAGGACCAUCGCCAGAGGAUAUCCUGGCGUCACUCCGUCAGCACACAUCUUGCCUCCCCGCGGCCACACGCCACACGCCACACGCCACACGCCUCCAGCCAUGAAGAACACGACCGGCUUCCUCCUCCUCCUGCUCCUCCUCCCUCUGCUGCCGCUGCUGUUGGCGCCUGGAGGGUUGGUUGGCUGUGCACCCCCCGGGAAAUGGCUCCUCACUGUCCAGACAACGGACGCUGGAUACUACCACAUUACCUCUGCAAACGCAACCUCGGAUAAGAAUAUAACAGCCAGCAUGUGCGUGCGCCCACACCAUCACCUGAAAGUCGUGGUGGGAGUGGAAGGAAGCGACAAGUACCACAAAGAGUCCUUGCUGGAAAAAGACUGUUUCCCGGGUGACCAGCAGUGGUGGAUGCUGUUGGUGGAGGUGGAGCUUUGGAACACAGACCCCAACACAGGGGAGACAAAAUACAGUAUUUACAUGAAGAUAGCAGAGUGUUCCAGGGCGUGUUACAAGACAGCCAGCACGCGAGGUCUUGAAAGCAUCAACGUCUGGGCUUCAGGCGCCGCACAAUGGACAGACUGCAACAACAUCAAUGAAUUCCACCCACCCCUCUACUUUUGGUGGCACUUAUACCCGUUCUUCCCCUUGUGCAGAGAUGUAAACUUUUCAUCGCUCUCAUUGAUAACCCCUGCCACGCCCACACCAUACCACCAUGAAUGCACGCCCCCACUUACUGUGCCCACCGGAGUUGCAGCAGGCGUAAUUGCAGGAGCAGCAGCUGUGGUGGUGGUGGUGGUGGUGGUGGUGGUGGUGGUGGUGUUCAAACGGCGUGGUGAGGCAGCAGUGGAAGAAGGGCUCAGUACAUUCGUCCUGUAACCAUACAAGGAAACACAUUAGUCAGAGUUAAAUUCACAAAAUUUUUGGGUGUUUAUGUAGAGGAGAAUAUGAAUUGGAAUCAUCAGAUUUCUUUUGUCACAAAUAGAUUAUCAAGGUUGUGCGGCAUUUUGUACAGAGUUCGUAAUAAUGUCGCACCUGAGUCCCUCACUGGCAUGCAUGACACACUUUGCCACUCCCUCUCACCUGCUGUGCAUCAGUCCGGGCCUGUACUUGGCAGUCCUUCAUUAAUAAAAUAUCAUUCACUCAAAAUUUUUUUUUUUUUUAUACAUAUUUUAAUACACAAAAUUUUCUUAGUUUUACAAAUAUUCAUAAAUAUUUUUUUUAUUGUUAAGCGUUCACAAGCAGCUUACACAGUGCUGUGGACCUCAGACCUUCAGACUGAUGCACGUCGAGGAAGCAGAAGCAUGGCUGACACGUGCAGCCAAGCCCACACAAACACUUAAAAAGGAAUUGGCUUGUGUGGAGCUGAGAAAGACAGCAUUGAAGUAUAUUUUACCAAACAUUAAGUGAUAUUUGAUAGACAAGCACGCAGUGUACAUGAAAUAAGGCGGGACAUCCUCUAGCCUCCCAAACAAACAACUCAUGGGCACAGGAAACAGAUAAAAAGCUUUGUUCUCAAACACUUCGCUGCCUUAUCUUCAUUGCAACAGGCUCCAGUGGAGGCUAUUGGGGUUUUCAAGAUUCUUUUACUAAGCUGACACGAAUUCUGCAUCAUUGAUGGGAGAAACAUGCAUGGAAACACAACCAAACACUUGUGGCCUUGGAAGAACACUCACAGUGAGAGGAGAGAACAUUCUAAAAGACAAGUUCAGCACCUGUGUGCAGCAGUUCCUUCCCCUCAGUGGCCGGAACAAGACUCAUUCACAUUACUGGAAAGUUUGCAUAGUUACCUGACAUCCCCAAGACACAUAUGUGUGAUGCAUACAAAUGUAUAAUAAAUAUAUACAAUAUACACAAUUCUAAGAUUUUCUAUGCUUCCUAAAACCUCAUGGAAUCCCACACACCUCUACAUUAAAAGUCUCCAUACAGAUGUCGUACACACACACACACACACACACACACACACACACACACACACACACACACACAGUGCACGGGUGACAGGAGGCCCCUGCACCACUCCUGCUCUGAGAGACGAGUAAACAAACACGUGGGUCAGGCAGUCACAGGAGCGUCAGUGAUAUGCACAGUUAAGGAGGAGGAAGAGGAGGACUCAGCAGGUCCUCAACAGUUUGGAAGGGAACAGAGGCACGUGGGAGGCAAGGAGAGAGAGAGAGAGAGAGAGAGAGAGAGAGAGAGAGAGAGAGAGAGAGAGAGAGAGAGAGAGAGAGAGAGAGAGAGAGAAAAUAGACAAAAUAAAA